GGACCUGAUUGCUAUGUACAGCUCUAAGAAUCUCUGAAUUAUACAGCUGUUAUUAUUAGCUUAUUCAGAUAUAUUCCAAUUUCGAUGAUUUGGGUGGCAGUAGAUUGACAGCAAAAUGGAAUCUUCAGUGUGGCUGAACAGGAAACCAGAGGCUAAUGGAGGAAUUGAAUAACUUGCCCAGCACCUCAGUGGAGGUGCCUGACUUCGCCCCGCACUCUUUCCUCCUGAGAAUAAACUGGGCUCUGGUCUACUAUUGGGUCAUGCCACCCUUUCGUCCCACGUUCCCACGCGUGGUUCUUUCCAGCCCAGUUGAUGGCUGUCUCUAAAAGAAAGCCCCCCUCUGCCUAGCUCCUGAGAUGUCUACAGACCUCGUGGUCACAGCUCUCUCCUGGCAAUAUUCUUCCUUUCCCCUUGCAGUGGCUCCUCCCCCUGCACCCUUUCCAUAAUCCUUUUCAAAUAAACUCUCUCCUACUGAA